rnacentral:snoRNA from 1 species
AACCCAUGGUGAGGGCACCUUCUUAAUAAGUCCUUAUACCUCUCUCAUAUAUCAUAUAGAGUCUCUAAAUCGAUUUGAACAAAGGAAAAGAUGUCAUUCCUCAACUU